rnacentral:rRNA from 1 species
ACGUAGGGAGCGAGCGUUGUCCGGAUUUACUGGGUGUAAAGGGUGCGUAGGCGGAUCUGCAAGUCAGUAGUGAAAUCCCAGGGCUUAACCCUGGAACUGCUAUUGAAACUGUGGGUCUUGAGUGAGGUAGAGGCAGGCGGAAUUCCCGGUGUAGCGGUGAAAUGCGUAGAGAUCGGGAGGAACACCAGUGGCGAAGGCGGCCUGCUGGGCCUUAACUGACGCUGAGGCACGAAAGCAUGGGUAGCAAACAG